GUGUAUGUCUGUGUACCUACCCGUAUGGCUGGACUCCUGGGAGUAGGGGUAUAUACAUUUGGAGCAGCGCUGGGUGUUUGUGUGUGCCCGCACCCGCUGGUAAAGCGAGAUUUACCUGCUUGUUCCCGGGGCUUUGGAGCGCGGCUCCCUCAGGCAGCGCCUCUCCUCACGACGUCUCCCGGUGGUGAAAAGGUUUCCAAAUAAACGGGUUAAAACGUGCGGAUUUCCCCCGUCUCCGUGGGGAACCGACGUGUGAAUCCAAACUGAUAUUAUCCGACUAGCUCAGCUGGUGUAAUGCUUUUGAUGCGUAUUUACAAUUUUUCAGCCACAGAGUGGCCUCCUGUAUUGCAGUUAGCACUGGAUGUGUUUAUAAGCACAUUCUCCUUGGAAGGCCAGGGACAUUUUGUUCGGUGAUUUGAGAAGGGAUGUGGAUGGAUGCCAUGCUCGAAGCCUGUUUUCAUAUCUCCUAUCAGCACGAUGCAUGUGGAUGUGUGCCUGGAGUCCGGAACUGCUUUCAUCUGCUAGAUCAGUCAGGAGGUAUGCACUUAUUGAAGGACUAUAUGAUGUGGUAUGGAUGGUGAAGCCAAAAAUCCUAGCGUUGUAGAACUUAGGCUCCUUGUUUCUGGCUCCGAACUCACACAGACUACACAUCGUCUCUAAAAUUUUCUUUUGUGGUCAGAAAUGUUUGGAUAUUGGGUAGGAAGGCUGAGGAGCAUGUGGCAGCAACUCUCAAAGGCUCUCUCAGCAGUUG